rnacentral:rRNA from 1 species
UACAGAGGGGGCAAGCGUUGUCCGGAAUUACUGGGCGUACAGCGCGCGCAGGCGGUCCACUACGUGCCCGUGUGACAAACGUCGGCUUAACCGACGGAGGCCAGGGUACACGGGUGAACUUGAGGCAGAGAGAGGGAUGUGGAAUACCCGGUGGAGCGGUGAAAUGCGUAGAGAUGUGGAGGAAUACCGAUGGCGAAGGCAGCCCCUGGGAUAACACUGACGCUCAUGCACGAAAGCGUGGGGAGCAAACAGG